ACACUUCUGAAGAGUCCCAUCCUAGGACGAAACGACCAUCCAGUGU
rnacentral:hammerhead_ribozyme from 1 species